UUUGGCCCCCUCUAGUGGGGGCCACUGCAAACGAAACAGCUUUGGAUUGGCUAAUGGCAAGGCAGGCCUGUUCCGUAUGCUGCGGUUUUUGACGCAUUCUGAAUUUAUUGGUAUCUCAUGAACCCCAUCGUAAUUAACCGGCUGCAACGCAAGCUGGGCUACACUUUUA
rnacentral:sRNA from 1 species